UUUUCCGCAUUUCCUUCUUGUUUUGGCCCGAUUUUUCGCUUUCUUUCUUUUUUUUUUCUGGCCGUGUUUUGCUUUGUUACCCAAAGCGCAUUUUUCACUUAGCUGGCAGUUUUGCUGGCUCGUCUCUUCUCCGGCGGGCUUUGUUUGCGUCUGUUUUCCGCGCUGGCCAAUCACGCAUCUGGCCAAAGCCCAGUCCCGGCCCAGUCCCGGCCCAGUCCCGGCCCAAACUGGCCCAAACCGGCAGAUAAGGCCCGCAACAGCGCCAAAGCCAGAACACAAAGAGCGUGAGCAGCGGGGAGAACGCAGAACACAGGGCCAGUAACAACAAAAUCGAAUGCAAUUUAUUUUCUAGUUACUGUUAAGCUGAUUGCAACUGCGAUGCUGAUGGCGAGGACGAUACCGAUCCGAUGUCCUCCAAGCCUGCAACGGUUCGGCUGCUGGCUCUUACACGGAAACAAAUACCGUUCUGCAACACGUAACGGGUACUUGCCAUACGAUAGUAUCUUGCAACUCCGAUACGGGGGUACUUCAGCUCAGGACCUCCAGUCAUUAACACGUGCUAUUCUGGCCGAGGGUGAAGUCCACUCCUGAUUUCCUGUCAAACGCUUUGGAGGGAAACAACGUGCAUGUAAUUGUGUCGCCAGGACAGCCUAAUCCGUAGCCAGUGGCCACUUUUGCUGCUGCCACUUAAAAAUCCACUUAAUCCCGGCGUCUUAUAAAAAUAACAAAAGCGGCGCAGAGAAGCAGGAAAGUACAAAUCUGGGGAACUGAAAAAGUAGAGCCCAGCUUAGCCCCUUGCUCUGACGUAUUCAAACUGCAAGUCGAUUGUUAUUUUUACGCCAACGGCGGAAAUAGACAUCCUGCCUCGCGUCCUGCGAACAAAAAAAGAAACUUUAGCACAACUUUUGUGGAAAGCGCGGAUGGGAAAACGGGGAAAUGGCGAAGGAAAAGCCGGCAAGUCAAUGUCGGCUGAAGGAGUAAAUUUUGUGCGGCAGUUGGCCAAAGUUUUUCCCCCGACUGGGCAUGCUAUAUGCUGUACAGCAGGACCUUGCCAUUAUUGAAAGUGCCCGUUGAGUAAUUUAAAAGUAAGCCCCCGGGUCUCAACUCGCAGUCGCCCAUUGAACCAGCCAAGGUAUCGGGGUCAAAUUGAUUCUUAAUAAUAACAAGAAAUCAGACUUUAAAUCAUGUGCCUGUGCAGGGCAAACUUGUUGUUUCCGCUUUGCCGAUGCAUGCAACCGAUUGCCUCUCAAGUACAUAAAUUCCUCAAUAAUUUCAGCUCGCCAAAAGUUUUUCUUUGGCUUUGUAGUUCAUAAAAAAAGGCCAGCACACUAGGGCAAUAUUGGCUUAACACAAGUUGGAGAUGGGAAAGUGGCGGAAGUAUAAAGUAUUCGUAUUUAAGCUAUACAGAAAUAAAUAUUGCUGUAUAAUAAAAAAAAAUUAUAAACCAUUUUAA